GGAAUUUUCCGCAAUGGGCGAAAGCCUGACGGAGCAACGCCGCGUGAGGGAUGAAGGCCUCUGGGCUGUAAACCUCUUUUAUCAAGGAAGAAGAUCUGACGGUACUUGAUGAAUAAGCCACGGCUAAUUCCGUGCCAGCAGCCGCGGUAAUACGGGAGUGGCAAGCGUUAUCCGGAAUUAUUGGGCGUAAAGCGUCCGCAGGCGGUCUGUCAAGUCUGCUGUUAAAGCGUGGAGCUUAACUCCAUUUCGGCAGUGGAAACUGACAGACUAGAGUGUGGUAGGGGCAGAGGGAAUUCCCGGUGUAGCGGUGAAAUGCGUAGAUAUCGGGAAGAACACCAGUGGCGAAGGCACUUUACUGGGCUAUUACUGACACUCAGAGACGAAAGCUAGGGUGGCAAAUGGGAUUAGAUACCCCAGUAGUC
rnacentral:rRNA from 1 species